rnacentral:misc_RNA from 1 species
CACAGUCUGAGGACCUGCAGCUGGGAC